rnacentral:rRNA from 1 species
UACGGGGGGGGCAAGCGUUGUUCGGAAUUACUGGGCGUAAAGGGCUCGUAGGCGGCCAACUAAGUCAGACGUGAAAUCCCUCGGCUUAACCGGGGAACUGCAUCUGAUACUGGAUGGCUUGAGUUCGGGAGAGGGAUGCGGAAUUCCAGGUGUAGCGGUGAAAUGCGUAGAUAUCUGGAGGAACACCGGUGGCGAAGGCGGCAUCCUGGACCGACACUGACGCUGAGGAGCGAAAGCCGGGGGAGCAAACGGG